AACGAACGCUGGCGGCAGGCUUAACACAUGCAAGUCGAGCGCCCCGCAAGGGGAGCGGCAGACGGGUGAGUAACGCGUGGGAAUCUACCGUGCCCUACGGAAUAGCUCCGGGAAACUAGAAUUAAUACCGUAUACGCCCUACGGGGGAAAGAUUUAUCGGGGAAUGAUGAGCCCGCGUUGGAUUAGCUAGUUGGUGGGGUAAAGGCCUAACAAGGCGACGAUCCAUAGCUGGUCUGAGAGGAUGAUCAGCCACAUUGGGACUGAGACACGGCCCAAACUCCUACGGGAGGCAGCAGUGGGGAAUAUUGGACAAUGGGCGCAAGCCUGAUCCAGCCAUGCCGCGUGAGUGAUGAAGGUCUUAGGAUUGUAAAGCUCUUUCACCGGUGAAGAUAAUGACGGUAACCGGAGAAGAAGCCCCGUCUAACUUCGUGCCAGCAGCCGCCGUAACAC
rnacentral:rRNA from 1 species